ACCCCGCUUAUGUUCUACUCAAGAUAGAGUUGACCUUUCAAACCAAAGAAUUUCUUUGCACGAAUCAUUUGUAUAACUCUUUCUGCUCAAUGUUAAUGACAAAUGAAAAUUAAAACAAGUCUCAUAACCACAGUUAUGCAUGUGCCAUUUAGAGUGUUUUCUGUCGUGAGUCACUGGCAACCCUUCCUGAACUGGCUUAAACAGUAACAGGAGGUUGAUUGCUCAUAUAGCUGGGGUCUUCAGGUGCCAGUGGCUUCAGCAUUCCCAUCCCAUUUUCCUGUUCUCCUUCAGCUGUGUCCUCUGUAUUUUGUCUUUGUCUGCAGGUGGAUCUCUCUCAUGGAGGCAAAAUGGCUCAGACCUUCGAGACGCCACAUACGUGCACCGCAAUAUCCAGAUAAAGGUCAUUUCUUUGAGUGACUCUCUCUGAAAAGCAAGCAAACCCCUUCCUCAACAAAAACUCACAUCUCAUUGCUUUGAAUUGGGCCACAUGCCUGGUGCAGAAGCAAGCCCUGUGGCCAGAGAAAUGCCAUGCCCUGAUUGGCUUGUGCCUGGGUUCCGGACGCCAGUCACCAUGGCCAGCAGGCUGGGAAUGCCUCGCCUGCCUUGGACCAAUCACAGCUCCCCGCUGGACGUGGGGAGGGCUGACUCCCUCGCGGACCACAGGCUGCUACGCCGGGCAGGAGCGGAAGGGAUCCCAGGAGAUAACCAUGCAGCCCCAGCAAAUUACGACAAUGCCUGACUGUGAUUAUGUCCUUCUUUAAGAAGCAGCUAAAGUCAUCUUCUGGGAGGAAGGAGUUGGUAUAGAGCUGAAAGUUUGAGAAGAGAGAUAAACUUCUUCAUUCAUUCCAGCUGUAAUUCUUGAACAUCUCCCGUGUGUCAGGUUAUCACCAGAGAUAUUACCAGAGGUCAGAACUUCACAGCCCUACCCUCAUGAAGGCUAAUGUCCAGUAAAGGUCUGGAGAUGCUGUGGGGGAAAAAGGAUGAUGGAGACAACUUGGGAUGAAUAAACUGAUUGUCAAAACAUACA
rnacentral:lncRNA from 1 species